rnacentral:rRNA from 1 species
GAUGAACGCUGGCGGCGUGCCUAAUACAUGCAAGUCGAGCGAACAGACGAGGCGCUUGCUCCUCUGACGUUAGCGGCGGACGGGUGAGUAACACGUGGAUAACCUACCUAUAAGACUGGGAUAACUUCGGGAAACCGGAGCUAAUACCGGAUAACAUGUUGAACCGCAGGGUUCAACAGUGAAAGACGGUCUUGCUGUCACUUAUAGAUGGAUCCGCGCCGCAUUAGCUAGUUGGUAAGGUAACGGCUUACCAAGGCAACGAUGCGUAGCCGACCUGAGAGGGUGAUCGGCCACACUGGAACUGAGACACGGUCCAGACUCCUACGGGAGGCAGCAGUAGGGAAUCUUCCGCAAUGGGCGAAAGCCUGACGGAGCAACGCCGCGUGAGUGAAGAAGGUCUUCGGAUCGUAAAACUCUGUUAUUAGGGAAGAACAAAUGUGUAAGUAACUAUGCACGUCUUGACGGUACCUAAUCAGAAAGCCACGGCUAACUACGUG